CUACGGGAGGCUGCAGUGGGGAAUAUUGGGCAAUGGGCGCAAGCCUGACCCAGCAACGCCGCGUGAGGGAAGAAGGUUUUCGGAUUGUAAACCUCUGUCCUUGGGGACGAAGAAGUGACGGUACCCAAGGAGGAAGCUCCGGCUAACUACGUGCCAGCAGCCGCGGUAAUACGUAGGGAGCAAGCGUUGUCCGGAAUUACUGGGCGUAAAGGGUGCGUAGGCGGCAUAAUAAGUCAGGUGUGAAAUACUCGGGCUCAACCCGGGGGCUGCAUUUGAAACUGAUAUGCUUGAGUGUGAGGGAGGAAAGUGGAAUUCCUAGUGUAGCGGGGGAAUGCGUAGAUAUUAGGAGGAACACCAGUGGCGAAGGCGACUUUCUGGCUCAUAACUGACGCUGAGGCACGAAAGCGUGGGGAGCAAACAGGAUUAGAUACCCUCGUAGUC
rnacentral:rRNA from 1 species